AUUGAACGCUGGCGGCAGGCUUAACACAUGCAAGUCGAGCGAGCGGCGGACGGGUGAGUAAUGUCUGGUAAACUGCCUGAUGGGGGGGGAUAACCACUGGAAACGGUAGCCAAUACCGCAUACCAUCAGAUGUGGCCAGAUGGGAUUAGCUAGUAGGUGGGGUAAUGGCUCACCUAGGCGAUGAUCCCUAGCUGGUCUGAGAGGAUGACCGGCCACACUGGAACUGAGACACGGCCCAGACUCCUACGGGAGGAAGCGUUGGGGAAUAUUGGACAAUGGGCGCAAGCCUGAUGCAGCCAUGCCGCGGGUGUGAAGAAGGCCUUCGGGUUGUAAAGCACUUUCAGCGGGGAGGCGUUACUCGCAGAAGAAGCACCGGCUAACUCCGUGCCAGCAGCCGCGGUAAUAC
rnacentral:rRNA from 1 species